UACGUAGGGUGCAAGCGUUGUCCGGAAUCAUUGGGCGUAAAGCGCGCGUAGGUGGCUUCGUAAGUCCGUUGUGAAAGUCAAAGGCUCAACCUUUGAAUGCCGAUGGAUACUGCGAAGCUAGAGUACGGAAGAGGCGAGUGGAAUUCCCGGUGUAGCGGUGAAAUGCGCAGAUAUCGGGAGGAACACCAAUGGCGAAGGCAGCUCGCUGGGACGUUACUGACGCUGAGACGCGAAAGCGUGGGGAGCAAACAGG
rnacentral:rRNA from 1 species